rnacentral:rRNA from 1 species
AGACGGAGGGUGCAAACGUUGUUCGGAAUCAUUGGGCAUAAAGGGCACGUAGGCGGCCCAGUCAGUCAGUUGUGAAAGCCCACGGCUCAACCGUGGAACUGCAUCUGAUACUGCUGGGCUAGAGACUGGUUGGGGUGAGUGGAACUCCUGGUGGAGCGGUGAAAUGCGUAGAUAUCAGGAGGAACACCAGUGGCGAAAGCGGCUCACUGGACCAGUACUGACGCUGAGGUGCGAAAGCUAGGGUAGCGAACGGGAUUAGAUACCCCAGUAGUCC